CUCUUAUGAAGAGUGGCGGAGGGAAGUGCCCGAUGAAGCCCGGCAACCAUCACAUAUGUGAAAAGGUGCCAAAUCACCCAAAGAAAUUUUCUUUGAAAGAUGAGAG
rnacentral:ncRNA from 2 species